rnacentral:rRNA from 1 species
UACGUAGGGUGCGAGCGUUGUCCGGAAUUAUUGGGCGUAAAGAGCUCGUAGGCGGUGUGUCGCGUCGGCCGUGAAAACCUGGGGCUUAACUCUGGGCGUGCGGUCGAUACGGGCAUCACUGGAGUUCGGCAGGGGAGACUGGAAUUCCUGGUGUAGCGGUGAAAUGCGCAGAGUAAUCAGGAGGAACACCGGUGGCGAAGGCGGGUCUCUGGGCCGAUGACUGACGCUGGAGGAGCGAAAGCGUGGGGAGCGAACAGG